AUGACCGAUUGCAAACAGUGUAGCUAUUCCCUCCGCAAGGCAAUCGAACAAGCGAAGCGUCAGUAUAGAGAAAAAGUAGAGUCGCAAUUCAACGGCUCAGACACGAGAGGUAUGUGGCAGGAUCUACAGUCAAUCACGGACUACAAAAGGAAAACCAGCCCCGUCGCGGACCCCGAUGUCUUGCUCCCAGACAAACUAAACAACUUCUUCGCUCACUUUGAGGACAACACUGUGCCACUGACACGGCCCGCAACCAAAACCUGCGGGCUCUCCUUCACUGCAGGCAAUGUGAGUAAAACAUUUAAACGUGUUAACCCUCGCAAGGCUGCCGGCCCAGACGGCAUCCCCAGCCGUGUCCUCAGAGCAUGUGCAGACCAGCUGGCUGGUGCGUUUACGGACAUAUUCAAUCAAUCCCUAUCCCAGUCUGCUAUUCCCACACGCUUCAAGAGGGCCACCACUGUUCCUGUUCCCAAGAAAGCGAAGGUAACUGAGCUAAAUGACUAUCACCCCGUAGCACUCACUUCUGUCAUCAUGAAGUGCUUUGAGAGACUGGUCAAGGACCAUAUCACCUCCACCCUACCAGAUACCCUAGACCUACUCCAAUUUGCUUACCACCCCAAUAGGUCCACAGAUGACGCAAUCACACUGAACACUGCCCUAACCCAUCUGGACAAGAGGAAUACCUAUGUAAGAAUGUUGUUAAUCGACUACAGCUCGGUAUUUAACACCAUAGUACCCUCCAAACUCGUCCCUGGGUCUUGCCCCAAACUCGACCCCGGAAUGUGCAACUGGGUUCUGGACUUCCUGACAGGCUGCCCCCAGGUGAUGAGGGUAGGUAACAACAUCUCCACCCCACUGAUCCUCAACCCUGUGGCCCCACAAGGGUGCGUUCUCAGCCAUCUCCUGUACUCCCUGUUCACCCAUGACUGCGUGGCCAUGCACGCCUCCAACUCAAUCAUCAAGUUUGCAGACGACACUACAGUGGUAGGCUUGAUUACCAACAACGGCGAGACGGUCUACAGGGAGGAGGUGAGGGCUGCCGGAGUGUGGUGUCAGGAAAAUAACCUCACACUCAAUGUCAACAGAACAAAGGAGAUGAUCGUGGACUUCAGGAAACAGUAG
rnacentral:lncRNA from 13 species